rnacentral:rRNA from 1 species
UAAACUGGGAUUAGAUACCCCACUAUGCUUAGCCCUAAACCUCAAUAAUUCAUAACAAAACUAUUUGCCUGAGAACUACUAGCCACCGCUUAAAACUCAAAGGACUUGGCGGUACUUUACAUCCAUCUAGAGGAGCCUGUUCUAUAAUCGAUAAACCCCGUUAUACCUUACCAUCCCUUGCUAAUUCAGCCUAUAUACCGCCAUCUUCAGCAAACCUUAAAAAAGUACAACAGUAAGCAAGAAAAUCACCAUAAAAACGUUAGGUCAAGGUGUAGCCUAUGGGAUGGAAAGCAAUGGGCUACAUUUUCUUAAAAAGAACAUCACGAAACCCUUUAUGAAAUCUAAAGGAUAAAGGAGGAUUUAGUAGUAAAUUAAGAAUAGAGAGCUUAAUUGAAUAGCGCAAUGAAGUACGCACACACCGCCCGUCACCCUCCUCAAAUUGAACGGACAUUAUUCAAAUACAUAAUACAAUUAAUAAGUUCAUGAGAGGAGACAAGUCGUAACAAGGUAAGCAUACUGGAAAGUGA